ensembl:lncRNA
GCUGGGAGGCAGGGGCUGCUCCUGGCCACAGAGGAAGGCUGCUCCCUUUUGGCUUCCUCUCUUACAGCUCGAAACACACAGAGCAAUGGGACCAGACCAUGGCACAAUCCUGGCCUCACUGCCCUCGACCACUCAGCUGGAAGGAAGAGCUGCCAACGCUCUACAGGACAGGUAAGAUCACCCCAACCCACACCCUACCACGGUCUCAUAGCAAGCAGGACAGUGACACGCUCAGGCCAGGAUGGGAGUGACCGCUCCGUCAGGACGACGGGACACGGAGAGCCUCGCCAGACACACACAGCCAUGGGACCAGACCACAGCACAAUCCUGGCCUCGCUGCCCUCGACCACUCAGCUGGAAGGAAGAGCUGCCAACGCUCUACAGGACAGGACAGGAGUGACCGCUCCAUCAGGAUGACUGGACACGGACGGACGUGCCAGAUACACACAGCGAUGGGACCAGACGCUCCUGGCCUCUCUCCCCUUGAGAACUCAGAUGGCAGGAAAAGCUUCCAACGCUGUACAGGACAGAU